rnacentral:rRNA from 1 species
GAUGAACGCUAGCGAUAGGCCUAACACAUGCAAGUCGAGGGGCAUCACAUGAAGUAGCAAUACGGAUGGUGGCGACCGGCGCACGGGUGAGUAACACGUAUGCAACCUGCCUUCAACAAGGGGAUAACCCGUUGAAAGACGGACUAAUACCCUAUAACACAGGGGUCCCGCAUGGGAAUAUUUGUUAAAGGACAACCGGUUGAAGAUGGGCAUGCGUUCCAUUAGCUAGUUGGCGGGGUAACGGCCCACCAAGGCAACGAUGGAUAGGGGAACUGAGAGGUUUAUCCCCCACACUGGUACUGAGACACGGACCAGACUCCUACGGGAGGCAGCAGUGAGGAAUAUUGGUCAAUGGACGCAAGUCUGAACCAGCCACGUCGCGUGAAGGAAGACGGCCCUACGGGUUGUAAACUUCUUUUAUACGGGAAGUAAAGUGCCCCACCGCGUGGGGUUUUGCAUGUACCGUAUGAAUAAGGAUCGGCUAACU